rnacentral:lncRNA from 1 species
UCUGCUGAGGGCACCUUCACUGACCAUGCAAUAUCUAACAAGAGGCCAGUAAAGGUGCUUUGCCUCUCUUUGAAAUCCCUGCAACGGCAAGUCAAAGAACAAUAGCAUGCGGUAACGUCCUGUUCCUCUGGAAAGAAUCUGCCUCUCUUUGAAAUCUUGGCAACAGCAAGUCAAACAACAGCAGGCGGUAAUGUCUUGUUCCUCUGGAAAGAGUGUAGCAUUGAACUUCUGCUCUAUUAGUUUCAUUUCAGAACAGAUAGCUUUAUCUCCAAUUAUUAGAGGUAUGAAAUUUGAUAGGCCAGAUUCAUUUUCAACCU